GACGAACGCUGGCGGCGCGCCUAACACAUGCAAGUCGAACGAAGCACUUCGGUGCUUAGUGGCGGACGGGUGAGUAACACGUGAGCAACCUGCCUCAUAGAGGGGGAUAACGUUUGGAAACGAACGCUAAUACCGCAUAACGUCUUCGGGGGACAUCCCCUGGGGACCAAAGGAGCAAUCCGCUGUAAGAUGGACUCGCGUCCAAUUAGAUAGUUGGUGGGGUAACGGCCCACCAAGGCGACGAUCAGUAGCCGACCUGAGAGGGUGAUCGGCCACAUUGGGACUGAGACACGGCCCAAACUCCUACGGGAGGCAGCAGUGGGGAAUAUUGGGCAAUGGGGGAAACCCUGACCCAGCAACGCCGCGUGGAGGAAGAAGGUUUUCGGAUCGUAAACUCCUGUCCUCAGGGAAGAGCAGAAGACGGUACCUGAGGAGGAAGCCCCCGGCUAACUACGUG
rnacentral:rRNA from 1 species